AAGGGAAGGGAGGCUUUAGCUUGAUCUGUAAUGUUUGGAUUUUGUACCAACAAUGUAUCCAUGUACUCUGUGUAAUUAAAAAUAAGAGCUUUUGGAGUCUCUUGUGGUGCAGCCAGUGAAGGAUCUAGCAUUGUCACUUCUGUGGCUCAGGUAGCUGCUGUGACGUGGGUUUGAUCCCUGGCCUGGGAAUUUCCACAUGCUACUGGCAUGGCCAAAAAUAAAAAAUAAAACACAUGUGAAAAUUAAAAUAUUGAAUGAAUGCAUUAAAAUAAUUUAAUGAAUAGAUAAUACAGAUUUAAAGAGUGUAGCAUUUAAAAAAAAUAAGAAUUUCCAAAAGAUUUAAAAAAUAAAAAGUAAUCAAUCCUAGGUACUUUCUUGUGAAAAGGUAGGGAAAGACUUGUAGGAUUUACUAAGGCCAUGUAAAUGGGCUGAGUUUGAAGCUGAGGAUGAGCAUAAUAAGCUUGGGAUGAAGCAAGUGAAAUUUGACAUAUAGGCGCAGCUGUGACUCUGCAUUAUUUAUUCUUCAUACAGGUGAUUUCUCUGGCUUCCCUGAAUAUCUGUUUACCAGCCUAAAGAAUUUAUGAUUGAAACUCAAGUAUUAAUCAAAGGCACAUGAGGAAAGAGAUGAAACAUACAAUCCAAGUUCUGCCAUGGAUAUGCCUUUUUAAUUAGAGAAACAGUAUGAAAAUCUGAUAUUUAUGACUGUCUCAUACUUUCAAAGCUGGUUUCAGUUCCAUGUAUUUUAAGUUGUAUGUAAAUAAAUUUCAUUUUCUAAGAAUCCUUGCUUUAACCAGUAUGGCUUUUUAAUUAAUUUUUUCAUUUUUUUGGGGGGGCUAUUUUAGGGCCACACCCAUGGCAUAGUCAGGUUCCUAGGCUAGGGGUCAAAUCAGAGCUACAGCUGCUGGGAUCCAAGCCACCUCUGCGACCUACACCACAGCCCACCGCAACGCCAGAUCCCCAACACAGUGAGCAAGGCCAGGGAUUGAACCUGAAUCUUCACGGAUCCUAACUGGGUUUGUUAAUCACUCAGCCAUAAAGUGAACUCUGUUUUUCAUUUCUUGAUGCCUCUGUUUUUUGAGGUACAUGAAAGGUUAGAAAUAACUUAGAGUUCUCUUAUGGCAAAGUGGGUUUAGAAUACGGCAUUGUCAUUGAAGUGGCCCAGGAAAUUUCAUGUGUUGUGGGCCCAGCCAAAAAAAAGAAAAGAAAUAAUUUUAAUAAGCCUGUAAUUAUAAAGAUACUGAACAAAAAUAAUGUUUCACUUAUAAAUCACCAGUGUUUGAGGAUUCCAAACUCCUGUCUCAUUGAUGAAUACCUACAAUGGUUUAUUUUAAAUAGACUAUGUCCUGUAACAUUUUUAUUUCCAUUUCAUGACUCAGCUUCUCCCUGACAAUUAAAGGUAUCCUUAAAGAUGGAUUCAAUGGCCAGAAUGAGGUUAUCUUCUCUCUCAGACAAUUUUUCUUUGGUUACACCCACAGCAUAAAGAAGUUCCCAGGACAGGCAUCGAACUUUGCCACAGCAGUGACUUGAGAAAUGACAGUGACAACGUCAGAUCCUUAACCCGCUGUCACCAUGGAACUCUUCUCAGACUAUUUUUAUUGGUGGUAGCCUUUUGUUGUAUCUGAUGCCCUUGUGAUUUCCAUGGCACUUACAAUGAUACAGUGUACAUACAACAGAUGAUGAUUUAACACAAAAGAAGUUUAUUAAGGACUAUUGGGUGGCUCAUGGAAUCUCUGUGGCUAGAAAACCAGUAUUGGGAAAUGGCAGGAAGAAACUAGUCUAAUGAGGAAGACCACUGCUACCUCAGCUGCUGGUCCAUAGUGUAUGCUGUCGGUUAGAAUACCACCAUUACUGCCACUGGGUAUGAGACACUUCCUCUGUCCUUGUCUUCCUGUUUCCAUCACUAGCUCUUGAUUCAAGACCCUGGAUAAAUAAGAACACUUGGCAAAUCAUAUCUGGAGCACUUGGUAACAGCUGCCAGAAGAAGUGGCGAAGUAGUUAUCUUGCAUUUUCUGAGUCUAGAGUAGAAGGAAAAGCUCUUCUUCUUACCAAGAUCAAGAAAGUGGAGAAUUGUAAAUAUAGGAGGGAAGUUCAAAGGCCAAGGAGUAUCAAAAACCUAAAAAAUGUUUGCCACAGGGAUUAAAGUGGAACUUUUUUACAUUUAUUGACCUUGAAAGGUUCAUAAACACUGGCUCUGUGAAUAUUGGGUUUUAAAUGCUUACUUGGGUGUAUUAGUUAUCAAUUGCUGCGUAACAAAUCGCAUCCCCAAACCUAGCAGUUUAAAACAAAAAGAGGCAUUUAUUAUUUCAAAUCGUUUCUGUGAGUCAAAUUCAGGAUCAGCUUAGCUAGUUUUGGCUUAGGGUCUCUUAUGAGCUUGUAAUCAAGACGUCAGCUGGGACUACAGUUAUCUGAAGGCUUGACUGGAGCUAAAGGAUCCAUUUCUAAAAAGGUUCCCUUACAUGCUAAAAAUUGAUGCCUGGGGUUGAUAGGAAGCCUCUGUUCCCCCCCCCCCCAAAGAGAUCUCUCUAUAGGGCUAUUUGAGAGUCCUCAUUGCUGAUUUAAGAGAUAGCAAAGCAGAAGCUGCAAUGUCUUCUAUGACAUUUCUGCACAAUAUUCUACUGGCUACACAGGUCAGUUCUAUUCAGUAUAGGAAAGGGUGACACUGGGACAUGAACACCAGGAGUAGGGGAUCAUUGGUGACUGGCAAUCCCACUAAGUGAAAUAGAAAUUUGAGAAUUAUCUGGUUAAUUUCAUAAUCAAAGUGGAAAGUCAAAUAGAUUCACUAGCCAUAUAACUCUGAGCUACGUAGGCAGAAAUUUGGAAUGAAGUUCUCAUAUUUACAUCAUUUGAAGGCCAAAAACUUUGCUGAAUCUACAAAGUUAUAAUGAUCAAACAAAGCCCAGAAAUUGAAAGUGUCUCACAAAAUAGAUUCAAGAAUUUUUUUCAUUUGAAGCCAGUUUGGAAUUUCUUCAUCAAAAGAUACUUCCUGUUACUCUUCCAAAGCUGUCAGAAUAAAAUGAGAAAUUAGAAAAGUAAUGGGAUUUUUUUCUUCUUGGUGCAUUAUUUGUUUGGAAUUCUAUCUUACUGGAAACUUUUAAAAUUAUUUUAAAAUAUUAGAUUAUGUUCACCUAAUAUUAUGAGCAGUCAGGCAGUUUUGGACAUGGAUGAUAAAAGAUAACGACCAUCAUUUUUCAUGCUAGCCGAAGUCCUAGCCUUUUUCAUGUUGACCUCUCCUGAACUUGAUUCACUCUCUUUUUACCCUUUUGUUCUCAUGAGAUCACUUGAGAAAAGGGGAGAAUUUUGACAAAUUUUUCCUCCUUUCGCCCCAAGUGAAAUUAUUUGUAUAUAUGUUUCAGGGUUUACAUAAGCAACACUACAU
rnacentral:lncRNA from 1 species